GACGAACCGAGCGAACGUUGUUCGGAAUCACUGGGCUUAAAGGGCGCGUAGGCGGGUGCUCAAGUCCGGGGUGAAAUCCCACAGCUCAACUGUGGAACUGCCUCGGAUACUGGGCGUCUCGAGGGUGGCAGGGGUAUGCGGAACUAUCGGUGGAGCGGUGAAAUGCGUUGAUAUCGAUAGGAACUCCGGUGGCGAAGGCGGCAUACUGGUCCACUUCUGACGCUGAGGCGCGAAAGCCAGGGGAGCAAACGGG
rnacentral:rRNA from 1 species